AGAGUUUGAUCAUGGCUCAGGACGAACGCUGGCGGCGUGCCUAAUACAUGCAAGUCGAGCGGGACUCUUCGGAGUCCAGCGGCGGACGGGUGAGUAACACGUGGGCAACCUGCCCCGAAGACUGGGACAACACCGGGAAACCGGAGCUAAUACCGGAUAAUCCUUUCUCUCUCAUGAGGGAGAGCUGAAAGACGGUUUCG
rnacentral:rRNA from 1 species